rnacentral:other from 17 species
UGCUCCCUGGGAUAUUCGCUAGCUGGUAAUGUCCCUGUGCCGAUAAUUACAAACCCAGGGUGAAUGUUUUACUGACAUUGUGCAAGCUCGGCUCGUACCGAGAAGCCUUAGGAGGUAUUCAUUUACCCGCCUUGAACCUACGGUUCAAGGGCUACACCAGCGGUCGGUAUUCUGGGGAGCAA